rnacentral:rRNA from 1 species
GGAUAACCUGCCCUAUUGUCUGGAAUAACCUCGGGAAACUGAGAACAAGGCCGGAUAACCCACAAUGCCUGGAACGGUUUGUGGGUGAAGAUAGGAUGGGUCUGCGGCGUAUCAGGUCGUAGGGGGUGUAAUGGACCUCCUAGCCACCGACGCGUACGGGUGUUGGGAGACAUAGCCCGGAGAUGGAUUCUGAGACACGAAUCCAGACCCUACGGGGUGCAGCAGGCGCGAAAACUUCACACUGCAGGAAACUGUGAUGAGGGAACUCCAAGUGCAUCCACUAUGUGGAUGCUUUUUUUGACUAUUAAUCGGUCAACGAAUAAGGGCUGGGAAAGACCGGUGCCAGCCGCCGCGGUAAUACCGGCAGCUCAAGUGGUCGUCGCUUUUAUUGGGCCUAAAACGUCCGUAGCCUGUUUGGUAAAUCUGUGGGUAAAUCAACCAGCUUAACUGGUUGAAUUCUGCAGAGACUGCCAGACUAGGGACCGGGAGAGGUGUGGGGUACUCUAGGGGUAGGGGUAAAAUCCUGUCAUCCUUAGAGGACCACCAGUUGCGAAGGCGCCACACUGGAACGGAUCCGACGGUCAGGGACGAAGCCUAGGGGCACGAACCGGAUUAGAUACCCGGGUAGUCCUAGGUGUAAACGCUGUGAACUUGGUGUCGGGGAUCCGCAAUGGGUCCUCGGUGCCGGAGUGAAGAUGUUAAGUUCACUGCCUGGGGAGUACGGUCGCAAGGCUGAAACUU